rnacentral:lncRNA from 1 species
GGCACAACAAAGGCGGCGGGCGACGCGUCCCGGGCGGGCUCCGCAGAUUAUGUUAUAACCUAUGAUCACAGAAAGUCCUGAUCCUCACGUUUCUCUGCUGUCACCUGUGGGCUCCUCCAGAGCCGUGAAGAAGGGGGAACUCCAGCCCCACCAUGACAAGACCGGGUCUUCCGUGCAUGGCGACUCCACCCAUGUGAGAGCUCUCUUAUGUGAGUCCUCAGCAGCACAUUGUGCUGUCUGUGGUCUGUGGACACUGACUGCCAUCUAAGCAACACCACAGCUCCCUCCUCUCCCCCUAGACGCCACUGUCUUAGAGCCUCCAUGUGCAUUUGCUAUGACAUACAUCAGUGUUGAUGAGAGACAGGAACACUGCCGGGUGAUCUCGAGCUGCCAAAAUAAUCAGCUCUGUGCACAACAUGGCUUAAAGGAUUUUUCGGUUAGCAGCAUGCAUCCACUAAAGAACCUAGACACUCACAUUUUUUCUGGGGACUUCCACACUCUAGACUACUGCCACACGGGCAGGGCACCUUUGGCCGGUCCUGUGGAAAACCGGAUGUAUCGGAGCGUGGAGAACCUUCACUGGGCAACUGUUGCCGACUCUGGGCUGUAUUCUCACUGCCGGAGCCUGGAUAACGAGAUCAUCUUUCGCUAUAGAGGCACCAGUCAGUGGACAGAAGGCUGUGUGGAUGUGGCCCCAGUACAGAGCACGUCGGACUCUCCAAGAGACCUUUCUCUCCGUGCUAAACAGACGUCUCAAUCGGCACAGAACGUGCUCUUCCCUCCCUUUGCCAAAGUGCCUCAGUGGCUCUUCCCUUCUGCAGAGGAAAGAGCCCUACAUGGGGAUGCCAGAAAAGAGCUGAAGGAGAAGCUGAGGCUGCACAGCAGUAAGGUGGCAGAGCCCUGUAAGCCAGUGCGUCCCCAGGUGGCCCUGCCUGACCUGAUGGCCCGGGAGUUCUUUGAGUGCCAGGUGUGUCGGCAGUGCAAGAACGGUUGUGCUGUCAACUACUGCACGGUGUUGGUGGAACACACUGCCCUCAGGCGCGGCCUCACAGGGAGACAGGGACUGUGCUUUGCACACAGGAUCAUCAGUCCAGAAGACAUCAAGCAGGAGGCUCAGAGGAGGCUUCAGCUCCGAAGGCAGAAUAGCUCCCCCAGUUUGCCCCUUCAGCUCACAGGGGAAAGCCAUGAGAUGGGCAAAUCCAGAACAGCAGAAACCCUAGAACAAUACAGUGGGGAAACAGAUGGCAAAGUCACAUUGGGACAGAGCAAGAAAGGUCGCUGUAAAGGGAGGCUCUACAUACCCACCUUUGAGGAAUUUAAGCAGAUGAGAAGAAAGGAAGGAAAUUCAUCUGCCAGCAGCAGUGAGACAACAGAGUGCUUGAAUAAGGGUUUGCCUGCAAACCAGACACUGGAGAAGGAAAAGAAUGUCUGUCCAGAAGCUUUGGGGACCAGAGCUGUCAAUGAAUCUGCUGUCACAGUGGAGGAUGAUGACGAUGUAUUCCACGAAAACCACACCUCUGCUGGCUUUUCCCAGUAUCCAGCCACAUGGGAUGGUUUCAGGAUGAGCAGUCCUGAGCUGAAGGACAAAACCUUCCAUACCUCUAGCCCAGAUACAUCGCCAGUCCCUAUUUGCUCCAGUCCAAUUCCACGAUCACCUUUACAGGCAGUAGCAAUACACAGAACUGGGCAGGAGAUCUUGAGUGAUGAGCAGCAGAAAGGAGAGACAAGAAAAUUAAAUGAUGUCCUCCACCUUGCAGGGCAGUCCCUGGCUUCUGAAGCCCAGUCCUCUUGCUGUUCAUCGCUGCUGUUAGAAGCUACAGACUUAUCCAGCUAUGGAGCUAAGCUACAAAAAAUGAAGGAUGAAUUCAUAGGUUCAGCCUUGGAACUUAUUAAGAAAAGGCUGGGCAGUAGAGACCUGGAGGGUGACAACAAAAAGUGAAAGCUGUGAGCCUGCUGUUGGCACUGUUGGC